rnacentral:ncRNA from 1 species
GUAUGGGUAGGAACAGUACCGCGAACGGCUCAUUAUAACAGCUAUAAUGUGCUUGAUCUUGAUUAUCCAACGUGGAGAACUGUGGUAAUUUUAGAGCUAAUACAUGCACCAAAGCUCCGGCUUAUGGACGAGCGCUUCUAUUAAAUUAAAACCAAUCGAGGCAACCCGUUCAUUGGUGUCCUUUAUAUAGGAAAUAUUAGGCGGAAUUGGGCAAAUGUACUAUUUCAGUCUAAAUUUAAAAAGUUUUGCCAAGAG